rnacentral:lncRNA from 1 species
CCUGUAUGAUGUCUAUCUUCAAAGAUGGGGAGAAGUGGUUGUUUUUCAAAUGAAUGAAUUUCAACAAAAAGUUACAAGACGCAUGGUAAAACAAUAAAACGUGGUCCAUUCCAAACUAAAACUCUAGAAACUGGUCAUAAAGAAGUGAAAGUAUAUAGAUUAUCUGUGAAAAAAUUUAAAAUGACAGACAUUAAGGUGCUCAGUGAGCUCAGGAAAAUGAUACAUAAUCAAAAUGAGAAUAUCAGCAAAGAGAUAGAAAUUAUAAAAUGUGGCCGACUGCCACUACUACUACUUGAGACCGUCAUUACAGCAGUUACUGCUGUUACUGCUUGAGACUGUCAUUACAAGACUGAAUGAACGGACGAACAUAGAAAUCAUAACAGAAAACAAAAGUAACUAUUUUAAGGAAAGGCUAGCAUGGGGAAGAAGAGAGCUCCCUGCUUCUAGUGAGGAAAGGCAGCCCCUGAGCUUCCACAACCCUUCUUAUUUAUUGGGUAACAAGAGCAAGAAGGAGGAGGUAACGAUUGGUCAGCUGCUUAAUUGACCACAGGUUCAUAUUGUUACUGACAGGCUUCAAUUAUGCCUCAUUAUAAGAAACAUUUGUGCGGCCUCCAACAGCUGCAAACAGUCAACAAAAUUACAAAGGAAGAGAGCAAGAAAAGAAAAGGACUAAAGAGCUACAAGACAGACAGAAACAACUAAGAAAAGGCAAUUGGAAUGCAGAGCACAAGGUUCCAUCUUGAAAAAAGAGAAUGGCCUCACCAGACACCACACCUGUGGUACCUUGACCUCGGAUUUCCCAGUCCCCAGAACUGUGAGCUAAUGCAUUUCUGUUAUUUACAAAUUGCUCUCACAAGUAUUCUGCUAUAGCAGCAUAAAUUAGACUAAACCAGAGUGAAUCAAGAAACUUAAAAUAACUUAUUUAUCCUGCUACUGUCUUGCCUUAAUUCAUAGGCAGACCUAGAAUAUGAAUCACACAAAACAUUGUUUAACUGUCACCACGGUAUUAAUUACUCUUUGGUACAGAAAAAAUAAUUUUUUUUUUUUUGCCAAAAAAAAGUCUAUAAAGUAUUAUUAUUUUUUUCUUCUUUUUAAUGCUAGUAUUCCCUGUUUUAUUUUAUUUUAUUUAUUUAUUUAUUUAUUUUUGAGGCGGAGUCUCACUCCGUUGCCCAGACUGGAGUGCAGUGGUGCGAAUAUUCCUUGUUAUUAAUCUAAAUUUGGAUUUCAAAGCCAUUCUUAAUACUUUCCCACCUCAUCUAAAAAUCAUCUCUCCACUUGUAUAAUAUGUACUCUCCACUCCAAUGAGGCCAAUUUCUAGUCACCCCCCUUUCCACCCCACUACACUAUAGUGAAUAUCUGGCUUUUUUUUUUUUUUUUGGUCUCUCCAACAUCCCCUCCAUUGGGGAACUUUAUUUUUCUACCCAUUUGGGCUACCAAUUACAUGGUGCUGGUUUCCCAAAACUGGUCUAGGUACUUAACAAACUAGUUAUUCAGUAAGUCCUAUCUACUUGAUCACACUGAUUUGUUCAAGGAUGGUAAACUGAUUUAAAUUGAGUACAUCAUUCAUCUCCCAAAAUUCUUUAAUAAAAUAAAAUCAUAUUCUGCCAUAAAAAACAUAUUCUGUUUUUCUGUUUUCUGUUUUUUUGUGAGAUUCUUAACUAAAAGUAUAAAAAAAAGUUAAGAUACU